rnacentral:lncRNA from 1 species
AUUACCAAACCAUUUACUCACCACCCCGACCCAACCAAAUUACCGACCAACAAACACUCAAAUCCACAACCAGUACAUGUCAGACACCCAACCACAAAACCAAGAGCAUACUUCAUACCAUCACCAACAAGAUGCUUAAUAUCAACACACCUAACAUCCAUAUGCCCCCAACACAUCACCCUACCAUAGCUAAAACACGCAAAGA